rnacentral:lncRNA from 10 species
GCUGGCAUCCCAGGGUGACUUCACCAUGGGCUGUCAUCGCUGAGGCCAUAAAAAGCCAAAAGCACUACCCUUGAGUCAUCCUAGCCCCUUGGAGCCAAAAACGUAGCAACGUCACGUCUGUAGUUGACCUCGGUUCCGGGCACCUUCCUGAGCAUUCUUCGGGAGGCACUUGUGAAACUCAGCCCAGGUGCUGCCCAGGAUCAGGAGGCUGAGACGUGAUCUGGAAGUGAGUGCCCAUCCAUACACCUUCCCCAGCUUUGGGGCCACAGAGGGACAGAAACCGCAGGCAGGCUGGCCUGGGAAUGAACCUACACCAGCCUGAAGUCAGAAGAGCCUCUAGGAGCCUCCAGCCUGGACUCUUUUUACAGAUGGGGAAACUGAGUCCCAGAGAGGGAGCAAUGAAGGAUGUCUAAGGUCAUCAGCAACGUAAAGCCAACAGCAUCAUCCUGAGUCAUGUUUGAACCUGAGUGAGCCCUGAAGCAUGGCAUUGAGAAGCUGCCUAAGAAGGAGGCAGAUCCAUCAGCCUGGGUGCCCGACUGAUUACCCUGAGCAGAGCUCCCCAGCCCACCUGUGAUGGACGCAUGGAGCUUGAGCAAGGAAUAAAUAUUCGUUGCUGGACUCUGAUUACACUGGACCUAUCCAAGAUCUGAGAUCAUCAACUCAUCUCAAAAUCCUUAAGCUGACCACAGCAGCAUCGUCCCUUUUGCAGUGUAAGUUCCCCUCCAGGUUUGCACAGCAUCUGCUGAAGUCUCCACUAGAAACUCAAUGGAAGGUCCCCACCGGAAACUGAAAGUCUCCUAGAGUGGCUUUGAGUUGCGGUUUCACCCUCCCUGCAGAUCCACAGGGGAGGCUGGGGCAGAUGGAAAAUACCAACUUGAUGGUCUGUGGCCACACCAUGCUGCUCCCCAAGGCCCCUCAGAAUUUCACUGCCCAAUAUGGUAGCGCCCAGCCUGAAACGUGGCCAGUGUGAAUUGAGAUGGGCUGGAAAUGCACCAGACUUCCAAGAGCUGGACAAAAACCAUAUACGUAAAUUUCCAUCCAGCUGUUUGGCAUUGGAUACUGCUGCCUCUGCUUGACUUGAGAAUGUGUGAGAAAAGCUGUGUUUAGACAACUGAAAACCAUGAGCUUGAAAGUAGUGGGGGCACACUCUUGGAGACUCCAGUUGCUCACCAGCUUGGACAAACCACUGGACUCAAAUGAUCAGGUAGAAAUUCAUCACUGGAGAGAACACAGUGGAAUGGCUUCAGCGAAAACUCACUCUGAAGGUCUUCAGGGCAACUUUAAGACUUGCCCCUGGCCGGGCACAGUGGCUUAUGCCUAUAAUCCCAGCACUUUGGGAGGCCGAGGCGGGUGGAUCACCUGAGGUCAGGAGUUCAAGACCAGCCUGGCCAAUAUGGCGAAACCCUGUCUCUACUAAAAAUCCAAAAAAUUAGCCGGGCGUGGUCGUGGGCGCCUGUAAUCCCAGCAACUCGAGAGGCUGAGGCAGGAGAAUUGCCUGAACCCGGGAGGCAGAGUUUGAAGACAGCCGAGAUUGCACCACUGGGCAACAAGAGCAAAACUCCAUCUCAAAAAAAAAAAAAAAAAAAAAAAUACUUGCCCCGGCUUUUUGUGUGAUGGACUUUCUAUUUACAGACGUGAUAUUUAUCUAUGACUUUACUCAGAGUCUGGCUCAUAGACCAGAAGGACUGGUAUCUCCUGGAGCUUGCAGGAAAUGCAAAAUCUCAAACCCCUGUAUUAGUCAGGGUUCUCCAGAGAAGUAGAGCCAAUGGGAUAGAGACAGGGAUAGGGAUGAUAGAGAUGGAGAUAGAGGUAGAGAUCCAUUGAUUCCUCUGUUAAUAAAUUGGCUCAUGCAGUUGUGACAAUUUCGAAAUCUGCAAGGUAUGUCAGCAAGCUGGAGACCCAGGGAACAGUUGAUGUUGCACCUUGAGUACAAAGGCAGUGUGUCUGGAGCCAUAAUAUCUUCUUGUUAGGAAGACUUUGGUCUUUUCUCUUCUGGCCUUCAACUGCUUGGGUGAGGCCCGUCCCCACUACAGAAGACAAUAGUCUGUUCUACUCAGAGUCUACUGAUUUAAAUGCUCAUCUCAUCCCAAAAAAUACCCUCACAGCAACAUUUAGCCUGUGCAUUUGACCAAACAACUGGGUACCAUGCCCCCCCUCCCAAGUUGACACACAAAAUUGACCAUCAUACCCUCCCCACCCCCAGUCUUACUGAAUGAGAGAGAAUCUGUGCUUCAACAAGAUCCCCAGAAGAGGUAUAAGCGCAGGGAAGUCUGAGAAGCACCACCUUUGAGGCUUAUCCAGGAUGCCCACAUGAGCCUUCUCUGGAUAUGUCAGAUCCCCUUCCUGGCCCCCUAGACACCUCCUCCACUCCCCAAACUUGGAAGCAACAUUGUGGGGAAGCAGGCAGUGAGGCGCUCAGUCUACCACGUUGUGAGAUACACAGCUCCAUCUGUGUAUCAUGAUUUGAUCCAAGGGAAAACAAAAGAUCCAGAAACAUAAGUACUUUUUUGUGAGCUCUCAAAAACUUCCUGUGACAAGAUCAGGUCGUUGAUGCGAGAGCCACACUUGUUUCUUUUUCCUCUUUAUUCUCCACCUCUGACAUAAUACUUAGCAUAAAAAAAAAUCCAAUAAACACCACUGAAUCAAUUAUCUAAGCCUCAGUUUCCCUCUUGUAAUAUGUACUUACCUGGUUGUGGUAGGAAAGACACCAGGCAUGAGAAACACUUAAAAGCCCAGGACCCUGAGCUGGGCACAUGGUAGGUACUCAGGAAGUCAUUGCCGAGUGUUCAGUGCAUGCUUGUUGAAUGAGUAAAUGAGGUCAGGCUUCAGCAUGCAAACACUCGCUAUAAAGCAGGAACCCUGUGCCCUGAGUGCACAAAAUAGAUAUCGAGAAGGAACACAGGCUCAGACAUCAGUGCCAUAUCUGAAGACAUUCAGCUAAUAACAGGAUGGAGUCCAAUCUGCUGGUGUGUGCACACCUGUGCCUGGGUGUCUUUGCUGGUGUGUGCACAUGUGUCUACAUGUGUGGUCGUGAGAGUACACACAGGGGCUGGAGGGUGGGGAAGGGCUUAAUCUAAUCCUGAAAGUGCCAGCAGAACUCUUGGGUGUCCCUCAAAGUCAAGCUUCUUUCCAGGUCAUCGAAGUUUUCACUUGGGUAAUAAUGCACGCAUAAUUAACUGAACAAAUAUAAUGAAUCUAUCUGUAGUGACAUGAUAGUUGGUGCUGAAUCCUAUUAGAGCACAUUUAAUUAAAAAUGCAUUAAACCUUCAAGCUUCUAAACACACCCUGCGCUUCUUCAAAGCCGCCCCUCCGUUAAAGUCUUCCCCACUAUUAACUAUGAGUCAGCCUGUGACCCUUUGGGCAUGACGGGGUGAGGUGAAGUGGCUCUUAAAUGCCUGUGCCAGUAUAUCACAGGCACUAAUGGAUUUAAAUCAGGGAGAUUAAUUCCAUUCAUUCGGCUCCUCAUUUCAGAAACAACUGUCACGCUGAGCCUAAUUGCUGAAGAUGGUUGAAGGCACCAGGAGGCUGGAGUUUCCUGGAGGUGGUUUGUGGCCAACCGUCAAUUACUUGGGCUGCUGUGCAGUGGGGAUAGAAGGAUGAUUAGAAUCCACAGACAACCCAUUGGCCUUUGUUUACCAUUAACUUCUGUUUUCUCCACCAGCCAAGCUCCUCCAGACCCAGGAGAUGGCUCUUCCCUCUGUGUAGCACACUCUUUCCAGUCAAGGGGUCUUGCACUGCUAUUUCCCCUUCUGCUUUGCUUGGUUCAUUCUUACUGACCCUCCAAAUACUGAAGGAAUGAAUGGAGAAAUAAGUAAAUGAGAGAUGUGGCCAAGAGUCUCCAAGAGAGGAAAUUAAAAAAUCCUAUACCUGUGAGGAACUGGCCCACUUGCAAAAGGCGGACUCAUUUGUCACUGUGUUUGCUGGCUGCUCGCACCACACAGUUUCCAGCCUAGGCAUUAUUUCCAACCUCUUUUUCCAAAGGGUCUUUCUAAGGUACAGAAAAUGGACAUAAAAUCGCCCAACGUAGUUGAGAGGUAAGGAGUAAAAGCCGGAAUUUGAACUCCUAAUCUCCUGCCACGAUUUCAUGCUGCCUCUGGGUAAUCUCCCAGCACGUUGCUUAAUCAGCUGCUGAGUCAUUGAGAGCCGGCAGAACCAGCUUCCUGCUGAGGCAGAGUGGGAGGAGGCCCGUCUGGGAGCAGCACACUGAAGGAAGGGAGGAGGAGGUGAUGUUUGGCACAAUCGGAUUGGUUCCCAUGAGGUCCAGGGCUGCGGCUCCUACAGAAGGCACUUUUUGCAUAUGGUAGGCUUCACGGGGUGCAACCUCUGUGUUGUUAGGAGAACCUCGUGCUUGCUAUGAUGCUCUGCUGUCAUUAUCUUGAAAUUCUUAGUCACAUUAAAACACGGGAGCCUACAUGUUUAUUUUGCACUGGAUCCUGCAAAUUAGCCAGUCCUGGUACUGAGGGCAGGUCCCUGGGUGAGUCUCACACAGCCUCCAUCCUUUGGUAAAGCAGCUUUCCUGAUUUAGCAAAUGCCUUACCAGAAAGCCUUUUCCUUGAAGAUGCUUUAACUUUUGUCUUCCCUGGCAAAGCUGUUUCCUUAUGGUAAAGCACCCAGCUCAUAGCUGAUAUUCAAUCCAUGAAGUAGCUCUGUCAGCAGCUGUCAUCAUGAAGACUUUGCAGCCUGCGGGUGGUAGCAUUCUGAAUCGUCAGUCUGUCUCGCUCCUGUAGCAAAUGCACGAUCCGGGAAAGCAUGUCCCAAGCUUUGUUCUGGAGAAGAUUUCUCCAGCUAUCAGAUGGUGUCUGUCAUCACAAUAGCUUAGGAGAUGCUGCUCACUCCAUCCUCCUCACUAAGUGUCACAGUACACUUGGGUAUGUACAAGUCUCUGAGAAGUCCAGCAGCAAAGACACCUUUGUGUUUUGCUGAUUCUAGCCUUUCCUAGACUAGAAGUCUUUUUUUCUAGUCUAGGAAAAGACUGUGGAAUCUUUUCUUUUUUUUCCUGAUACACACAUUCACAUUCCGUGGAACAUUUAGGACGUGGUUAUCUGGUCCUAAAGUAGUAAAGGUGAAGAUGUUGUGGGAGGUGCAAGAAAGAGCAGCAAGGAGUAGAUGGGGCACACUGCAAAGUGCGAUCCCCACAUACCUAAGUUAGUAUCAAUUACUACUAACAAAACUCGGCCAAGACUCUUUUGCAUUCGUUUUGUUUCUCUCUUUUACCCUGAUUAUAUUAAGAAAUAUGACAGGCCUGUGACUCACUGAUUAGACCAUCUUAGUCACUUUGGGUUGUCCCAGCAACAGGAGACUUAACUCUGACCAUAGGUAAGGAGCCCAGAGGACAGGAGAGCAGGGAUUUCUGAGGAUUUAACAAAUGCUUAUAAACAAAUGAUAUCACUUUGAACAAAGUAAUCAAAGUAUCAAAUGCUAUAAACACCACAGUAGGGCAAUGUGUGAAUCAUACUUGUGGUGAGACAUACAUAGAUCAGCUGCAAAGAGGAACUCAAUUCUGCAGAACCUCAGCUGGAGUAACUGAUGUGAAACAUGGACAGGGAAAUGGAAGGAAGUCAGCGGACACGGAAACUCUAGGAACUGAACUUUGACAAGGAACGCCGUCCAUAAUCCCAAGUCCUAUGACUUCAUAGAGGAAAAAAACCCUAGUGGAGCAGAACAGGGCCUCAUAGAGGGGCUGGGGCCUCACUGAGGGCUGGGAAGUUUGAUAGGACUUCCCUUGCUGGUAAGGAACAAAACUGGGUCUCAGGUUCAGGUUUGUAAAGCUAAUUUCAUACAUUUGCAGCAGAUGCUGUCAGUGUCCCUCCCCAAGCCCCUCAGCACUCAGCAUUCAUAGACAUCCUCAUCUUGCAAGCACCUGAGUCUCUCUCUGUAAGGUUUCUGUUGGCCUCAGGGCAGACCAGGGUACCAGGGAGGGCAGACCAGGGUACCAGGGAGCACAGCCCUCAAAGAAAGAUGACAGGAGUUGGUGUAAAUCUCAUGGCUUUCAUGUUACUUAGGGGGACCAAUGCUGAGGCAUGCUUAGCAUGAUCCUCUGUGAGACUGGGCCUCAGGUGUCCGCUGCAGCCGCCUGUUCAUUAGUGUGACAUGCACGGGAUUCCUUCCGUAUCCUGGCCCCUUUCUCUACUUCCCAACCGUGCUUCCUGAGACAUACUCAAAUCCUUGUCUCACACUUGGCUUCUGGGAGAAUCCAACUGCAAAUGCUGUGUUUUAUUUUUUAUUUAUGUAUUUAAUUAUUUGGAGAUAGGGUCUCCCUCUGUCACCCAGGCUGGAGUAAAAUGGCACAAUCCUAGCUCACUGCAAUAUUAAACUCCUGGGCUCCAGUAAUCCUCAGCCUCCAGGAGCUGGAACUACAGUCGUGCACAGCAAUGCCAGCUAAAGUUUCCUUUAAAUUUUUUGUAGAGUCAAGAUCUCACUAUUUCAGUCAGGUCUUGAACUCCUUGCCUCCCAAAGUUCUGGGAUUACAGCACUUGGCCUCCCAAAGUGCUGGGAUUACAGGCGUGAGCCACUGCAUCUGGCUGUUUAUUCCAUUAAAAUGAUUGAAGGAGUCUCUUGCUUUGGGAAUUUUGCUCCCGUGGUGAGAACACUAUGGGAAUGACAUCUCAAGAAUAUGGCUCCUUCAAAUGAAUUUAAAAUGGUCUUUCUAUUUUUGUCCAGUGGUUACAAUAGCUGAUGGGCUCGAGGUAAGGAGAUGCUAAGCUGCCAUUCUCUCCUUCAACCCAUGGCAUUUACUGAGCUUCUAAAUCAGUCAGGCCCUGGGCUGGACCCUGGGCAUGCAGACUGAAUCAGAGCCUUCAGGACUAGCAGGAGAGACAGGUAUAUAUAGUGGCAAGGGCAAUAUUUAUUCACUCAUUCAUUCUUUUUCCUUUUUUAUGUGCCAAAUCUUUAAUGAGGGCCUACCUUGUACUCAGGAACACCAGGAAUAAACAGAAAACAAAAAGAUAUCAUUUCUGGACUCAGUUCACCAUCUAGAGAAAAAAAAAAAAAAAAAAAAAGACCUGAAAUGGACAAAUACAGUACUGUUUGACAAAUGUCACGUAAGAAGAAGCCCAUGAUACUGAGGAUGGUAUAGGAGGGGCCGUAUCCAGGUUGAAGGAGUCAAAUAUGACAGCUGCCGUGAGAAUUACAAUCAGAAAACCAUGACCCGGAUGCUUAUCCUAUUCAUUGCUUGAGCCUGAGAACACAAACACACAGGGUGUGGCUGAAAUUCCUCUGAAAUUGUAUUGAUUUGAGAAAACUGCAAUCUUGUGUUAAAAUGUGAAUCAUACACAAGGAUGCAAAACAGUUACCGCUGACCAUAAAUCUAGGCUAUCAGAAUGGAAUCUGAUGGCUUGUCUACCAGACUGCAUUGUGAAACCAAUCAAAUGGGAGAUAGACUCACCACUUACCAAGUACCUCUGAGACACCAGGCACCCUGUGGGGUGCCCUACUCAUCAUCUUGUUUAACCAGUUGAUUGGGAAUAGCUCCAUUUUACAGAGAAAGACUGUUAGGCAGCUUUCUAAGAUGGCCCUAAUUAUUCCUUCCUUCUGGUAAUCCCCUUCCUUUAAAUGUGGGCUACACUUAAUUACCUGCUUUUAACAAACAGAAUAUAGCAAAAGUGAUGGGAUGUCAGGAGACUGAAUCAGUAACCAAAAACCUCCAGACAAAGAAAAGCCCAGGGCCAGAGGGCUUCACUGGUAAAUUUACCAAACAUUUAAAGAAGAAUUAGCACCAGUCUUUCUCAAACUCCUCAACAAAUUGAAGAGGAGAGAACACUUCUAAAUACACUUUAUGAGGCCAGCAUUACCCUAACAUCAGAGCCAGACAAAGACACAAGAAAAGAAAACUACAGACUAAUAUUUCUAAUGAAUCUUGAUGCACAAAUCCUCAAAAAAGAAGAAAACAUACUAGCAAACAUAAUUCAGCCGCACAUUAAAAGGAUUAAGCACCAUGACAAAGUGGGAUUUAUUCUUAGUAUAAAAGGAUAUUUCAACGUAAAAAAGUCAAUGUAAUAUAUCACAUUAAUAGAAUGAUGAGAAAAAAUCCACAAGAUUAUCCCAAUUGAUGCAUUUAACAAAACUUAAUACUCUUUCAUGAAAAAACACUCAACAAACCAGGAAUACAUGAAACUACCCCAACAUAAGACAGUCCACAAAUGAAAAGCUCACAACCAACAUAAUACUCAUGGUGAAAAGCUGAAAGCUUCCUCUAAGAUCAGGAAUGAGACAAAAAUGUCCACUUUUGAAUCAACCUGUAUUCAACAUAGUAUAAGAAGUCCUCGCCAGAAUUUUCAGGAAAAAAAAAAAAGAAAGAAAAAAAAGCCAGUCAAAUUGAAAAGAAAGAAGAAAAAUUAUCUUUGCUCACAAAUGACAUGAACUUAUAAAACUCCUAGAAUUAAUAAAUGGAUGCUGCAAUGUUGAAGGAUACAAAAAUCAACACACAAAAAUCAGUUAUGUUUUUAUAUACUAACAAUGAAUGAGCCAAAAAUGAAAUUAAAACAAUUCCAUUUACAAUAGCAUCAGAAAGACUAAAAUACCUAACAAUAAACUUAACCAAGGAGGUAAAAUGCUUGAGUAUUUAGACACUAAAAAUUAUAAGGCCUGCACGGUGGUUCAUACCUGUAAUCCCAGCAUUUUGGGAGGCAGGUGGAUCACUUGAGGUUAGGAGUUUGAGACCAGCCUGGCC